CCCUUAGAUGUUCUGGGCUGCACGCGCGCUACACUGAAGCGUUCAACGAGUAUUCACCUUGCCCGGGAGGGUUGGGUAAUCUUUUGAAAACGCUUCGUGAUGGGGAUAGAUUAUUGCAAUUAUUAAUCUUCAACGAGGAAUUCCUAGUAAACGCAAGUCAUCAGCUUGCAUUGAUUACGUCCCUGCCCUUUGUACACACCGCCCGUCGCACCUACCGAUUGAAUGGUCCGGUGAAAUCUCGGGACGGCGGCUUGGUCGCUUGCGUCCGACUGCUGAAACUUGAUUAAACCAUNUNAUUUAGNGGAAGGUGAANUCGUANCA
rnacentral:rRNA from 1 species